GGGCGGCGCCUCUGAACGCGCAGACCGGAAGGGGGACUCUGCCGCGCGUGCCCUCGCCGCGCCUUCAGCGUGCUGUGCGCGAGACAGCGUCGCGUCGAGCUACGGAGGGCGGCGGGGAGGCUUGAAAUUGCGAACGCGCUGCCACGCCGCGCUGGCUAGGAGAAGGGCUGCGAGUGACUGCAAAGAGGGGGUCCCCAUCCCAUGUUCCUAAAAGCAAACGUUAGCUGCAAGCACGGAUGAAAUUGAAGAACAAUUUGAUGUGAAACGUAAUCCUGCUGAGAAUGGUAAAACCAUAAAGAGAAUAUGAAGAAAUGGUUCCAGAGAGAGGAGAAGAGACUGUUUCUCACAUGGUCAGCUCAGCUUUAAUCCAUUCCAGACUAAACUAGUGGUACCACCAGUGGAGCGAAACUUUCGAGUCAAGAAGUGAUGGCUGUGAUGCAGUAAUGACCAUAACAGAAACCUGGUGGGUGAUGAAAACUAAUGUGGAUGAACACUGAGUAAUAUAGACCCCUUUGAGCACUCAGAAGAAUAGAAAGAACGUUCUGCAAGGGACAAGUGGACAACAGGAUGGUGUGCUGCCUUCCUGGAGCCAGAACAGGAGAUGCCACUCUAAGACUGAUUAGGCUUCUGAAGAUGAUGGGCAAGGACCCAUUGGCGAUAGUUCAUAUUGACACUAAUGAUUUGAUCCCAGUCUGAAGUACCAUGCAGAAAAGCUACACAAACCAUUACUGUUGAAGCAAAAUUGAUCUACUCUACCACUGAGUAAAUUAAAUGAUGAUUUCAGUAGAACAACAAUGAUUGUACAUGUCACACUGAUAACAAUACAUCAUGAAUUCAUUAUGAACAGGGCUACUUCAGUAAAUACCAGAUGAAUUCAUGACGACUGGAUUCUUAAAAUGCUACCAGAUUUACUACAGCUUUUUUUCUGUUUCCAUGUGUAAUUACUACCAGGACUAUCACUAUUACCUACUAAUUUUAUAAAUGAAACCAAUCAGAAAGUUAAAAAUGGUGCACCUGAGUCUUGCUACAAAAAUAUUGAACAUCUUAGGCAUCAUCAACACUGAUAUUUAAAGGCAAGAAUUAUGCUUAGUCAAGAUUUGUGUGUUCAGUUUAUUUUCUUCAUCAUGACUCUAACUAGCCAAAGGAAUUUUUUGGGUUAGCUUGGUUACUAUAGGUUUUAUUGAAAAAUGAUUGAUUCAUUGUUUACAAUUAUACAAAUAGUGAAAUAGGCUUCAAAAUAUUAUUUACAAGAGGGCUAUGAAAAUAAAA